CCUACGGGAGGCAGCAGUGGGGAAUUUUGGACAAUGGGCGCAAGCCUGAUCCAGCCAUGCCGCGUGCGGGAAGAAGGCCUUCGGGUUGUAAACCGCUUUUGGCAGGAACGAAACGGCGCUCGCUAAUACCGGGCGCUAAUGACGGUACCUGCAGAAUAAGCACCGGCUAACUACGUGCCAGCAGCCGCGAUAAUACGUAGGGUGCAAGCGUUAAUCGGAAUUACUGGGCGUAAAGCGUACGCAGGCGGCCAUUUAAGACAGGUGUAAAAUCCCCGGGCUUAACCGGGAAACUGCAUUUGUGACUGCAUGGCUAGAGUUUGCCAGAGGGGGGUGAAAUUCCGCGUGUAGCAGUAAAAUGCGUAGAGAUGUGGAGGAACACCGAUGGCGAAGGCAGCCCCCGGGGACAUGACUGACGCUCAGGUGCGAAAGCGUGGGGAGCAAACGGGAUUAGAUACCCUUGUAGU
rnacentral:rRNA from 1 species